rnacentral:rRNA from 1 species
GAUCAUGGCUCAGGACGAACGCUGGCGGCGCGCCUAACACAUGCAAGUCGAACGAGAGAGAGGAAGCUUGCUUCCUCAAUCGAGUGGCGAACGGGUGAGUAACGCGUGAGGAACCUGCCUCAAAGAGGGGGACAACAGUUGGAAACGACUGCUAAUACCGCAUAAGCCCACAGCUCGGCAUCGAGCAGAGGGAAAAGGAGCAAUCCGCUUUGAGAUGGCCUCGCGUCCUA